UAGGGAAUCUUGGACAAUGGGCGAAAGCCUGAUCCAGCCAUGCCGCGUGAGUGAUGAAGGCCUUAGGGUUGUAAAGCUCUUUCGCCAGGGAAGAUAAUGACGGUACCUGGAUAAGAAGCCCCGGCUAACUUCGUGCCAGCAGCCGCGGUAAUACGAAGGGGGCUAGCGUUGUUCGGAAUUACUGGGCGUAAAGCGCACGUAGGCGGUUUUCCAAGUUGGAGGUGAAAUCCCUGGGCUCAACCCGGGAACUGCCUCCAAAACUGGAUGACUCGAGUCCGAGAGAGGUGAGUGGAAUUUCCAGUGUAGAGGUGAAAUUCGUAGAUAUUGGAAAGAACACCAGUGGCGAAGGCGGCUCACUGGCUCGGUACUGACGCUGAGGUGCGACAGCGUGGGGAGCAAACAGG
rnacentral:rRNA from 1 species